rnacentral:rRNA from 1 species
CGAAUGCGACCCCAGGUCAGGCGGGAUCACCCGCUGAGUUUAAGCAUAUCAAUAAGCGGAGGAAGAGAAACUUACAAGGAUUCCCUUAGUAACGGCGAGCGAACCGGGAAUAGCCCAACUUGAGAAUCGGG